GAUGAACGCUAGCUACAGGCUUAACACAUGCAAGUCGAGGGGAAACGAUAUUGGAAGCUUGCUUCCGAUAGGCGUCGACCGGCGCACGGGUGAGUAACGCGUAUCCAACCUGCCCACCACUUGGGGAUAACCUUGCGAAAGUAAGACUAAUACCCAAUGACGUCCAUAGAAGACAUCUGAAAUGGAUUAAAGAUUCAUCGGUGAUGGAUGGGGAUGCGUCUGAUUAGCUUGUUGGUGGGGUAACGGCCCACCAAGGCGACGAUCAGUAGGGGUUCUGAGAGGAAGGUCCCCCACAUUGGAACUGAGACACGGUCCAAACUCCUACGAGAGGCAGCAGUGAGGAAUAUUGGUCAAUGGGCGAGAGCCUGAACCAGCCAAGUAGCGUGCAGGAUGACGGCCCUAUGGGUUGUAAACUGCUUUUAUAAGGGAAUAAAGUGAGCCUCGUGAGGCUUUUUGCAUGUACCUUAUGAAUAAGGACCGGCUAAUUCCGUGCCAGCAGCCGCCGUAA
rnacentral:rRNA from 1 species